GCUGGCGGCACGCCUAACACAUGCAAGUCGAACGAAGUAGCAAUACUUAGUGGCAGACGGGUGAGUAACAUGUAGGUAUCUGCCCUUUGGCCUGGAAUAACACGAGGAAACUUGUGCUAAUACCGGAUAAGUCUUUACGGAGAAAGCUUUAUGCACCAUUGGAUGAGCCUGCACUUGAUUAGUUUGUUGGUGGGGUAAUGGCCUACCAAGACUGUGAUCAAUAGCUGAUUUGAGAGGAUGAUCAGCCACAUUGGGACUGAGACACGGCCCAAACUCCUACGGGAGGCAGCAGUGGGGAAUCUUGCACAAUGGAGGAAACUCUGAUGCAGCGAUGCCGCGUGAGUGAAGAAGGCCCUUGGGUUGUAAAGCUCUUUCGUCGGGGAAGAAAAUGACUGUACCCGAAUAAGAAGGUCCGGCUAACUUCGUGCCAGCAGCCGCGGUAAUACGAAGGGACCUAGCGUAGUUCGGAAUUACUGGGCUUAAAGAGUUCGUAGGUGGUUGAAAAAGUUAGUGGUGAAAUCCCAGAGCUUAACUCUGGAACUGCCAUUAAAACUUUUCAGCUAGAGUAUGAUAGAGGAAAGCAGAAUUUCUAGUGUAGAGGUGAAAUUCGUAGAUAUUAGAAAGAAUACCAAUUGCGAAGGCAGCUUUCUGGAUCAUUACUGACACUGAGGAACGAAAGCAUGGGUAGCGAAGAGGAUUAGAUACCCUCGUAGUCCAUGCCGUAAACGAUGUGUGUUAGACGUUGGAAAUUUAUUUUCAGUGUCGCAGGGAAACCGAUAAACACACCGCCUGGGGAGUACGACCG
rnacentral:rRNA from 1 species